rnacentral:rRNA from 1 species
GACGAACGCUGGCGGCGUGCCUAAUACAUGCAAGUCGAGCGAAUGGAUUAAGAGCUUGCUCUUAUGAAGUUAGCGGCGGACGGGUGAGUAACACGUGGGUAACCUGCCCAUAAGACUGGGAUAACUCCGGGAAACCGGGGCUAAUACCGGAGAACAUUUUGAACCGCAUGGAUCGAAAUUGAAAGGCUGCUGCGGCUGUCACUUAUGGAUGGACCCGCUUCGCAUUAGCUAGUUGGUGAGGUAACGGCUCACGAAGGCAACGAUGCGUAGCCGACCUGAGAGGGUGAUCGGCCACACUGGGACUGAGACACGGCCCAGACUCCUACGGGAGGCAGCAGUAGGGAAUCUUCCGCAAUGGACGAAAGUCUGACGGAGCAACGCCUCGUGAGUGAUGAAGGCUUUCGGGUCGUAAAACUCUGUUGUUAGGGAAGAACAAGUGCUAGUUGAAUAAGCUGGCACCUUGACGGUACCUAACCAGAAAGCCACGGCUAACUACGUGCCAGCAGCAGCCGCCG